rnacentral:lncRNA from 1 species
AUAAUAUAAUAUGAAUUGGAUUUAAUUGUCCACAUAGCUGGCACUUUAAAAUAAUAAUUUUAGUAUGACUAGUGGCAGACUUCAUCAAAUAUUCCCUAAUAUUUAUGUUUUUUUGAAUACCUUAAAGCAGAAAUGAUAUCAAAGUAGCUUUUCCUUAAGAAACACAAUAUGCUCAAGAAACUUGACCACACUUUAAAAAGACGAUUUUCCAAUCAAACCCACAUAAUAUGACUUAAAGAAGUAAGGCCCUCUUUUUCUAAUUGAGUAGCAGCUAUAAGUAUAGGUUCCUAUUUACAAAAAAACAAAAAGUGGAAACAUUUUGAAUCUUUUCCAAUGACUUAUAGCAAAGGGAAGCUUAGAGAAUUGCCCUACAAAUCUUAGGAGACUAGUGAUGGAAAAGAAAUUUUGAAGAUUUUGACAAGAACCCAUUACCAGAUAUAAUUUUUUGCUUUGUUCCUUUCUCAUUCUACAAAUUCAUCCAUGUUUCACUUUCUUUCAUUCCAUGGUUUUAUUCUCUUCAUCAAAUAAAGGCUAAAAUGAUUGUAGCGUUUGAGUUGGUCCUACAAACUUUUUGACACAAACAACACAAAUCCAAUCACAAUUAAUGGAAUAUGGUGCUACUUUUAUGAAGGUCACAAGGUCAAGGUAAAGAAAGGAUGUAGGCUCCCACAAAAUAGGAACACUUUGCCCCACUUUUUAGUUUUCUUUCUUAUUGGAAAUUGAAAUUAUGAUUUAUGGUAUGCCAUGGGGCAGCUAGCUGGCCCUGUGAAUACAGCUUAUGUUAAAUUCUUUUAUUGAUAACCUAUAGUGAGUGAAUCUAAACUGUGUGUUUUGCUCUAAUAUAAUUCCCAUUAGUUAAAAGAAAACACUAUCUUUGACUGAAUAGCACCGUUAUAUUAGCUUUAAGGUUAAAUAAUUGAAUUACAUGCUUUUCCUGUUAAAGCUUAAGUGUCUCAAAAGCCAAACAUUUUGGGGUGAGUGUGCAAAUAAUAAAAGCUAGAGUCAAGUUGGAUUGUCUUAUCAAUCCUUCAUUGCUUUUAUGUUGAUAUUAAACCCAACAAGGCUAUGCUGGCCCAACCUGUUAAUCAGUCGUCCAGUUAAUAGUUUUAUACUCAUUUAGUAGAUUGAGACAUAAGCAAACAGCAAAAAAAAAAAGAAAAAAAAAAGAGAGAAUUAUUAACCCUAACCGGCUAACCCCAAUGGAGAUAUUGAAACAAUAAUUAUGAUUUAAAACAAAUAACUAAAGGUAGGUGUAAAUAUUGCCCCCAAGAGUUUGGCAGAAUAGUUUUCAAGCAAUUUUCUUUAAAAUGAAGAUGCCAUUAACAAACAAAAAAAUACAAUUUUUAAUGUAUUGAAACAUUUUUUUUUUUAAUUUAGUGUUUAAGUGAAGAUGUGCUCACUCAUAUAUAUAAUUUCGAAAUCUAAGAAUAGUUUGAUAUGAGUUGGUUUUGAGGCGAAGUGUCAGGUAGACUUACCUAACUUGAAAGAUUGACAUAGUGUAAUGAUUAAACAUUAUAAAUAGGCUUAUUUAAUU